UGCGUAGGCGGCUAUGUAAGUCAGAAGUGAAAGCUCUCAGCUUAACUGAGGAAUUGCUUUUGAUACUGCAUAGCUUGAAUAAGGUUGAGGUUGGCGGAAUGUGGCAUGUAGCGGUGAAAUGCAUAGAUAUGCCAUAGAACACCGAUUGCGAAGGCAGCUGACUAGACCUUUAUUGACGCUGAGGCACGAAAGCGUGGGGAGCGAACAGGAUUAGAUACCCUGGUAGUCC
rnacentral:rRNA from 1 species